rnacentral:rRNA from 1 species
UACGUAGGGCGCAAGCGUUUGUCCGGAAUUAUUGGGCGUAAAGAGCUCGUAGGUGGCUUGUCACGUCGGGUGUGAAAGCUUGGGGCUUAACUCCAGGUCUGCAUUCGAUACGGGCUGGCUAGAGGUAGGUAGGGGAGAACGGAAUUCCUGGUGUAGCGGUGAAAUACGCAGAUAUCAGGAGGAACACCGGUGGCGAAGGCGGGUUCUCUGGGCCUACUGACGCUGAGGAGCGAAAGCGUGGGGAGCGAACAGG